rnacentral:rRNA from 1 species
AGCUUCAAUAGCGUAUAUUAAAGUUGUUGCAGUUAAAAUGUUCGUAGUCAGCUGAUAUCGGCCGGGACGGCUGGCGCCUAAGGUGUUGCAGCCGCUCCCAGCAGAGAGAGUGUGCGUUUCUUUGUUGUUCCAGCGAAGGUUCGCCGUACCGUACUUUGAGUGAAUCGGCGUGUUCAUGGCACGUGGGCGUUUGAACGAUUUACCAUGGAAUACGGAAAGUAUGAUAACACCUCGUUGUUUGCUCGGGGGUGUUUUCUAAAACGGUAAGAACGGUCGAGGGUAUUCGUAUUCAACUGCAAGAGGUGAAAUUCUUUGAUUAGUUGAGGACGAACUAUUGCGAACGCCUUUACCACGGACGUGUCAUUUG